rnacentral:siRNA from 1 species
GUCGAAGAAGCAGAAAAAGAGUGG